rnacentral:rRNA from 1 species
CACGUAGGGCGCAAGCGUUGUCCGGAAUUAUUGGGCGUAAAGAGCUCGUAGGCGGUCUGUUGCGUCCGCUGUGAAAACUCGGGGCUUAACCCCGAGCCUGCAGUGGAUACGGGCAGACUAGAGGUAGGUAGGGGAGAAUGGAAUUCUCGGUGUAGCGGUGAAAUGCGUAGAUAUCGAGAGGAACACCUGCGGCGAAGGCGGGUUGCUGGGCUGACACUGACGCUGACAGCGCGAAAGCUAGGGGAGCGAACGGG